rnacentral:rRNA from 1 species
CCUACGGGAGGCAGCAGUGGGGAAUAUUGCACAAUGGGGGAAACCCUGAUGCAGCGACGCCGCGUGAGUGAAGAAGUAUCUCGGUAUGUAAAGCUCUAUCAGCAGGGAAGAAAAUGACGGUACCUGAGUAAGAAGCCCCGGCUAACUACGUGCCAGCAGCCGCGGUAAUACGUAGGGGGCAAGCGUUAUCCGGAUUUAUUGGGUGUAAAGGGAGCGUAGACGGCAUGUUAAGUCUGCAGUGAAAUGCGGUGGCUCAACCACGGCACUGCGGCGGAAACUGUCCGGCUUGAGUGCAGGUGCGGUAUGCGGAAUGCGUGGUGUAGCGGUGAAAUGCGUAGAUAUCAGGAAGAACACCGGUUGCGAAGGCAGCUUACGGGACUGCUACUGACGUUGAGGCUCGAAAGCGUGGGGAGCGAACAGGAUUAGAUACCCCUGUAGUC